rnacentral:rRNA from 1 species
ACAAAUCAUCAUGCCCCUUAUGAUUUGGGCUACACACGUGCUACAAUGGACAAUACAAAGGGCAGCUAAACCGCGAGGUCAUGCAAAUCCCAUAAAGUUGUUCUCAGUUCGGAUUGUAGUCUGCAACUCGACUACAUGAAGCUGGAAUCGCUAGUAAUCGUAGAUCAGCAUGCUACGGUGAAUACGUUCCCGGGUCUUGUACACACCGCCCGUCACACCACGAGAGUUUGUAACACCCGAAGCCGGUGGAGUAACCAUUUAUGGAGCUAGCCGUCGAAGGUGGGACAAAUGAUUGGGGUGAAGUCGAACAAGAGCCCCGUA